rnacentral:rRNA from 1 species
UACGUAGGGAGCAAGCGUUGUUCGGAUUUACUGGGCGUAAAGGGCGCGUAGGCGGCAAUUCAAGUCAUCUGUGAAAUCUCCGGGCUUAACUCGGAACGGUCAGAUGAUACUGUCUUGCUAGAGUGCAGAAGGGGCAAUCGGAAUUCUUGGUGUAGCGGUGAAAUGCGUAGAUAUCAAGAGGAACACCUGAGGUGAAGACGGGUUGCUGGGCUGACACUGACGCUGAGGCGCGAAAGCGUGGGGAGCAAACAGG